CGUUCUAUGGCCGAAUUGGUGAAGGCAUCGCCGAUCACAGGCGAUGCCGAUGCGGUUGGCGAUGCGGGUUCGAGUCCCGCUGGAACGG
rfam:Operophtera brumata OBRT01_Sc04390, whole genome shotgun sequence.